CACGUAGGGGGCAGAGUCGUUCGAUCCGAUUGUGGCGUAAAGGGCGCGCAGGCGGCCCGGAAAGUCGGAUGUGAAAACUCGGGGCUCAACCCCGAGCGUGCACCCGAUACUGCCGGGCUUGAGGCAGGUAGGGGAGAUCGGAAUUCCUGGUGUAGCGGUGAAAUGCGCAGAUAUCAGGAGGAACACCGGUGGCGAAGGCGGAUCUCUGGGCCUGUCCUGACGCUGAGGCGCGAAAGCUAGGGGAGCGAACAGG
rnacentral:rRNA from 1 species